AUACGGAGGAUCCGAGCGUUAUCCGGAUUUAUUGGGUUUAAAGGGAGCGUAGGUGGAUUGUUAAGUCAGUUGUGAAAGUUUGCGGCUCAACCGUAAAAUUGCAGUUGAAACUGGCAGUCUUGAGUACAGUAGAGGUGGGAGGAAUUCGUGGUGUAGCGGUGAAAUGCUUAGAUAUAACGAAGAACUCCGAUUGCGAAGGCAGCUCACUAGACUGUUACUGACACUGAUGCUCGAAAGUGUGGGUAUCAAACAGGAUUAGAUACCCUGGUAGUCCACACAGUAAACGAUGAAUACUCGCUGUUUGCGAUAUACAGUAAGCGGCCAAGCGAAAGCAUUAAGUAUUCCACCUGGGGAGUACGCCGGCAACGGUGAAACUCAAAUGAAUUGACGGGG
rnacentral:rRNA from 1 species